rnacentral:rRNA from 1 species
UACAGAGGGGGCGAGCGUUAUUCGGAAUUAUUGGGCGUAAAGGGCGCGUAGGCGGCCUUUCAAGUGACGGGUGAAAUCCCUCGGCUUAACCGAGGAACUGCCUGUCAGACUGGAAGGCUUGAGACCGGGAGAGGUGAGUGGAAUUCCCAGUGUAGCGGUGAAAUGCGUAGAUAUUGGGAGGAACACCAGUGGCGAAGGCGGCUCACUGGCCCGGUACUGACGCUGAGGUGCGAAAGCGUGGGGAGCAAACAGG